ensembl:lncRNA
CCUGGAAUUGUGGAUGAAGAUGUCCUUGCUUUUGUUUGAAUGUCUUUGUCCUCAUUAUUUUCCUUUUCCAUCAGGCUCACCUUUUCUUCCACGUCCUUGAGAGUUUCAAAUCUGCCUUCUUCCCUCUCUUCUUCACCAGGUAUAUUCUCUGUUUCAGUCCCAAACAUGCCCUUUUUUUCAUCCAUCGUGACAGCCUGCUGUUGGGUAUGAGGGUUCUCUGACAUUUUCACAUCAUGUCGUAGCUGUACCAGCUGCAGACGAUGAAGCAGUUGCUCACCUUGUUGGAUAUCAGUAGAUAUUUUCCUACUUCCAUCCUCUUGCUCCCCCAUUGUCUCUCUUUCUUCAGAACCUUUGGAGCUGGAUAGCACUUGCAUUUCUGUGCUGCCGCUUUCUUUCCUCACACAGUCAUACUUUAUGAGGUUAUAGUCCAAAGAUGUACGGUCAUCAUGCUCUUCAUUGUCUUUGUCCGUAUCUGCUUGGAAGUCAGCAGCCUGUGUCUGACUGGUUGCUGUAUUGGUCCUGUUUUGGUUGCAUUUGCAGAGCUCGAAAUCAUCAUCAGAAUUUGCCUCCACACUCUCAACAGCUAUACUUUCUCUUAAUAGUUUUGAGUCUGUUUCAUCAAAAUCACCAAUGUCCUUGUGUUUUAUUUUGUCUCCUUCUUUGUCUAAAUGGAUCUGAUUCUCAGAAUGUGUUUGUUUUGGGUAAUUGUCUUCCUCUGUAUUGGCUUCCCAGCAGUUUCCCUGUUCUUCACUUACAAUUACAAUGUCCUCAGGUUUGUCAUCCUCUGUUGCGUUAUUCCCGUAAGGUCUUCCAUCUGUAUCAUAACUAGUUUCCAUCAGACAACCAGUCACGUCCAUGGAUUGCUGUUCUUGAUAAGUUGGUGGAGAGGAGUCUUGUUCAUUGGAUAUGUUGGCCAUAGACAACGGCACUGUACUUGCAGUCACCUCUUCAUCCAGCUCGUUUCGUGCUACCAUUAACUGCUCCUCACUAUGAGCGAUGUAGCCGUGCGAGGUGGAGGAGGAGGUGGUUGAGGGAUGAAGACAUCAUCUGCACCUUCAUCAUCCAUCACACUGCAGUACCUCAUUAUAGCAGUGGGAGCAGCAGAGGUCAUUGUGAUUUCGUCUUGUGGCCUUUCACCAGAGGUCGCUGAAGGACUCUCUGUGUGGUUGCUCACAUGGUUUGAAUCCAUCUUCAUCCACAGACCACUAUCAUCAUCAGAGAGCAGAAUUUGAGGGCUGCGUCUAGGACCUCUUCCUUCCAUGUUGAAAGGUCUUUGAAGCAGUUUGUGGUGUUCUGUCUGCGUUGCC